CCUCCUUCCAGGAAGCAGCUCACCUGUGUGUCCGUGUUUAGUGUACAGGUGUGGAGUGGAGCUUGUUGUUGGUGUGUGUGUUCGAAGAAACUUUUGCAGACACCAUGGGUGCUCGGCAGUCCGGAAUUUAUAUUACAAACAAGAGUGACCGCUACACACUUUGUAACCCCAGCCUGUAUCUUUCUAGCGGACUCUGCCAAAUUCCUUUGCCAACAAAACUUGAAUGUUUUGAAUCUGGCAACACUCUGUUCUCUAAGACUGGUGGCACAGGGCGUGGAUCUGUUGGAGUCUUCACCUACGAUCUCUAUGAUCCAGCGACAGACAGAGCUGAUAACAAAAUAGCUGUCAUGUUCUCUGUUCCUUUUGACUACAUCCUGUACUCUAACUGGUACGCAGUGGGAGUCUUUGAUAAGAAAACAAACUGUGAUUAUGAUCUUUAUUGUAAGAUGUAUCACGGUGAUGAGAGAGGUUUUAUCAGAGGAAAAGCUGAUGGUCAUGAUCUGAUUCACACAGUUGAUGAUGUUACUAUUAAAUCCUCUAUGACAAACUCCAGUGUUGCUACACUGAAAGUUGAUGUACAUAACACAAAAUAAUUAUGAAAAUGAGAGGUGAAAUAAGAGGUCUGAUUGUUUUUGGAAAAGACUUGAUCACCCUUCAUUUCAGGAUUGGCCAGGUGCAUAAAUAUAUUAGUUAUUUGAUGGAGAGGAAGAUAUGACCAUUGCCCUGUACUACAGAGCAGGUUCAGCAUACACGGUGUACCUUCCAUUACUUCCUCACA